rnacentral:rRNA from 1 species
AAGUUCUUGGGCUUUGGUCUGGGUUCGGCUGGGGAUGGGCCUGCGGCCUAUCAGCUUGUUGGUGGGGUGAUGGCCUACCAAGGCGACGACGGGUAGCCGGCCUGAGAGGGCGACCGGCCACACUGGGACUGAGACACGGCCCAGACUCCUACGGGAGGCAGCAGUGGGGAAUAUUGCGCAAUGGGCGGAAGCCUGACGCAGCGACGCCGCGUGGGGGAUGACGGCCUUCGGGUUGUAAACCUCUUUCGCCAUCGACGAAGGUUCUGUGGUUGUGAGGCUGCAGGGUUGACGGUAGGUGGAGAAGAAGCACCGGCCAACUACGUGCCAGCAGCCGCGGUAAUACGUAGGGUGCGAGCGUUGUCCGGAAUUAUUGGGCGUAAAGAGCUCGUAGGCGGUGUGUCGCGUCGGCCGUGAAAACCUGCAGCUUAACUGUGGGCGUGCGGUCGAUACGGGCAUCACUGGAGUUCGGCAGGGGAGACUGGAAUUCCUGGUGUAGCGGUGAAAUGCGCAGAUAUCAGGAGGAACACCGGUGGCGAAGGCGGGUCUCUGGGCCGAUACUGACGCUGAGGAGCGAAAGCGUGGGGAGCGAACAGGAUUAGAUACCCUGGUAGUCCACGCCGUAAACGGUGGGCGCUAGGUGUGGGGGCCAUUCCACGGUCUCUGUGCCGCAGCUAACGCAUUAAGCGCCCCGCCUGGGGAGUACGGCCGCAAGGCUAAAACUCAAAGGAAUUGACGGAAUCGAAUU